UCGUCUAAAUACUUGUCCUUAACCUGUGAUCACAAAGAAAGAACCAAAACACAUUCCGAAUCUAGAAUACCUUUAUCGACACAUAACCAACCUUUGAUGCUGUCGAGAUCCUUAAGAUCUCAGGGAUCCAGGCUGGCUCAUGCCAAAGAAGCUAUGUGACGUGUAAAUAAUAUUUCAGAGUCACGUACAACAAGCAUGCUAAUGGAGAAGAACAGUUAGAAAAAAAAUAUGUCACAACUAAUAUGAAUACCCAAUAAGAGUCGCAGAAAUGCAAAAAAAAAACAAAUAGGAGGUUCAUUGUCGCCAAGCACUUAAAGUAUGUAAAUCCAAGAAAAAAUCAUAACCACAUAGUGUAAAAGCAACUAAUGCAUCGUUGAAGAAUACUAACCGUUUUACAGCACAAUAACAAAAGAAGAUUGAACUUUCAAGAGUAGAUAAGAAGUCGUACGAGCAAACAAGAAUUAGCGAUCUCAUAGUAGAAGCAGCAAGCAAAAUUUAGCACUAAGUGUAGUGUAGAAUAUUGUAGAAGUCAGAGUAGGAGUGUAUGAUAAGAGGUCUGACAAUUGAAAGAGAAGGAUGUUUAUAUAGCAAAAGAGUAGAGAAAAUAAAAGGAAAGAGAAUAUUUGCAAAUUCAAUCAAAUCAACUAAAACAAAUAAACUGCACAUAUUUUACCUGAAUAAACAAGUCAAAAUAUUAUUCGAUCUUCAAGAGGCCGUAAAAAUAGGGAUACCAAUGGAUACUUCCCAUGUAAAGAAACAUAAUCACAUCAAAUUAGCACAGAAUAGAUCCAAUUAUAAUUGGGGGUAAACAUCUAUUUGGAUCAAAAAUCCACAUGCUUAAAAAGCAAAAAACAUAAUACACCCAAAGAACUACUAUACUACUGUAAUUACGCUAGUAAUCCAAUCAACUGGCUCAAAUUUUUGGAGUCAACAUUAUGACAGUACACAAUAAAAUUGCAUUCCUAAAAUAAAAUCUAGGAUUGACGAAAAAUUCAAAAUUAGUCAUUUUACAUAAAACAAAUGUGAAACCAGAAAAACAGACCAACAAUAUAACCACAAAUUUUAAGUUUAAAGAAAAGGGGAGCAGAAUAGAAUUAUAAUUGCAUGUAAAAAAUUAACUAUGAAAUUCAACCUAGGAUGGGUUCCUAAGAACCCAUCAUUUUUUCGGUGAGAUGUGGUGGCAGUGUCAUGGGAUGCAUGGAGACACAGCAACGGCGGCUGCAAUAAGAAGGCGGGCCGGUUCGUCGGUAGCUGCUGGUUUGCAUGGCUGGUUUAAGGCGGACACGUCAGUGGCUGGAGCAGAGCUCUUUGGUGGCUUUUGAUGCAGGCAACGGCGAUAGUGAGGUCCGACUAUCGUUAACAGUGCUUCGCCGGUCAUCACAUCUGGUGAAGCAGCAAUGAUGAGAGGCAGCAUUGAUCGAAGGUACGGUAGGAUGGCUGGCUCGCUGGUGAGCUACCAUUAUUUUUCCCAGCUGUGGAGAUGCAUCGGAUCUGGGCGACUAUGGCACUGGGCCUUCAUCGGUGUCGGCUGGUGUUGUUGCCCAUUUAACGGUGCUUAGUCGUCGGAGAGAAAAAUUGAGCAGAGGGGGUUUGGGUUGUGGGCGAACGCCGGUGGCGGAUGGACGGUGGCAGUUGGUGAGUUCUAGAAAGAAGGAGGAGAGAUAGAGAGAGAAAGUGGGGAUGGUGUGCGGUUGAUUUGGUGGAAUGAGUCUAGGGUUAGGGUUUUGAUUUUUUAAAAGGAAAGAAGGAGAUCGUUUGAUCUCAGUCGUUGGAUCAGUUUUGAUCGAAGGCUGAUAUUUAAUGGUUGAGGAAUUGGUCAAAAUUUAAAAAUAAUUUAAAAUUAAGUCCUAAAUUGACUAUAAUUGUAAUAAAUGGCUGAAAUUGGAAUGUCUUGGGUAAAAAAUGGACUAAAAGAUAAAUAAAUCAGGAAAAUUAAUUUAACUUUAGGCUGUUAUUUAAAUAAUAGUAGGGAUAAUAAUAGUAAAUAAUAUAUAAUAAUAAUAAUAAAUAAUAAAUAAUACUAAUAUUAAUAAUAAUAAAUGUUAUAAAAAAUGAUGUAUUUGGAAAUUGAGAGUAUGCCUAUUUAUGAAAAUAAUUAUCUAAAAUUAUGUCGAGAAAUAUUAUAUUUAAAUUAAUGAAUGAUACUGUAAGGUGGUAAAAUAAUUUGUAUAUUUUAAAAUCGUGAAUGGACACAUCAAAAUCUGUUUGACACAAGAAAACUGUGUAAAAGUAUCAACAUUUAAAAUUGGUAAAUUUUGUUAAAAUAACAUCCUAAAAUAAGUAUCAGGAGGUACAAAAUUAGGUGUUAAUAGCUGCCCCUUCGUUUCUUGGGAAUGAUAAAAGAAUUGUCAAGCAACAAAAGUUGAUGUGGUAGCCAAUUUUAUCCGACCGAGGAAGAUUCUUUGGAGUUAAAACAAUAGGAGGUGAUUUUAAAAAUAAUAUGGCUGAGACUUCGAUUUCAAGUCGCCUACAUAUCUCUGGUUUUAUGAGAAUCAGGCCGUUUGUAGUUCUAGAUUUAGGAAUGAACAAUAUUUCUAAAGAAUGUCAAUGAUAAAGGAUGGGCAUUCAAUAAAGGUGUUGUAGGUCGGUCAAUGAGACGGAAUUGAAUGGGAUUUGGAAUAGUGGCGUAUGGAGAAGUUUGAAAAUAUUGAGGUAGGUGAGGUGAUGGAUAAAUAGAUGGAGUAAUAUUUUAGAAACAAAAACUAAAAUUGUCUUUGUUUGUUAUUCCUUCUUUGUUACCUGCAUAUUUACACCGUACUAAAUAAAAAAGGUUAGACAUGUAAGAAAUAAACAUUUGAUAAAUAUAAAGUAAAGGUGGAGACAAGAAAGAUAUCUGUUGUAUUGUGGGAUCAGCGAUUUGGCUUCUCAAUGUACUGUGGAAUCAUGGGAUCAGUUGUUUGUCUUCUCAUUGUGGAGUAAUCUGUACCUAUUAGUCCUAUCACUCUUAGCUCAAUUGGAUAAAAUGGUUAGCAUGGAUAUAUAUGUAUGUAUAGAAGAUUUGAUCAAUAUAGUGAAAACAACCAAAACAAUAAUGAUAAGAAGAGAUAAGAAAGUGUAUCUGUCAUGAGAGAGUAAUGCUUUGUUCAUAUAAAAAUUUAAAGAGGUCGUGCUUAAUCCACACUAUAUCUAGUAAACCAAUAGCAUUUAAUAACACUGAGGCAGUUAUGCUUAGCAUGUUCAGCAGUAGAAAAUAAUAUUCAUUUUUUAGUAACCCAAUUGACUUUCAGAGGACAAUGCUUAGCCUCAGGCAGUUUCUCAAAUUUACAAAACAAUGCUUAGCUUCGAAUAAUUUCUCGAGAGAGGGUAAUGCUUAACCCAACUAAAUUUCAAGGACUAUGCUUAGCCUCAUUCAGUUUCUCAAAAAACAGUAGUGCUUAACCCACUUAACUUUCCAAGGACAAUGCUUAGACUUAGAGAGUUUUUGAUAGAGUAGUGCUUAACUCCAUCAAAUUUCUAAAACAAUGCUUAGUUCGGAUGAUUUCAUGAGAGAGAAGUGGUGCUUAACCCGACUAACUUUCAAGACAAUGUUUAGCCUUAGUCAGUUUCUCGAAAAAGGGCAGUGCUUAAACCACUUAAAUUUCUAAGGACAGUGCUUAGCCUUAGAGAGUUUUUGAUAGAGUAGUGCUUAACUCUAUCAAGUUUCCUAAAAAAUGAUUAGUUUGGAUGAUUUCUCGAGAGAGGGUAGUGCUUAACCCAACUAACUUUCAAGGACAAUGCUUAGCCUCAGUCAGUUUCUCGAAAAAGGGUAGUGCUUAACCCACUUAACUUUCCAAGGAAAAUGCUUAGCCUUAGAGAUUUUUUGACAGAGUCGUUCUUAACUCCAUCAAAUUUCUGAAACAAUGCUUAGCUUUGGAUGAUUUCUCGAGAGAGAGCAGUGCUUAACCCAACUAACUUUCAAGGACAAUGCUUAGCCUCAGUCAGUUUCUUGAAAGAGGGUAGUGCUUAACCCACUUAACUUUCGACGGACAAUGCUUAGCCUUAGAGAGUUUAUGAUAGAGUCGUGCUGAACUCCAUCGAAUUUUCAAAACAAUGCUUAGCUUUGGACAAUUUCUCGAGAGAAGGUAAUGCUUAACCCAACUAACUUUCAAGGACAAUGCUUAGCCUCAGUCAGUUUCUCGAAAGAGGGUAGUGCUAAACCCACUUAACCUUCCAAGGACAAUGCUUAGCCUUAGGGAGUUCUUGAUAGAAUCAUUCUUAACUACAUCGAAUUUCCAAAAUAAUGUUUAGUUCAAAUAAACUUAUUGAGAGAGGGUAGUACUUAACCCAAUUAACUUUUCAAGAACAAUGCUUAGCCUCAAGAAGUUUAUCUCGAGAGGGUAGUGAUUAACCCACUCAGAACAUAGGAUGAUAAUAAUUAACCUUAUAUUUUGUGAUGGUGUAUGAAAUGCUUGAGAUUUUUACCCGUCACUCUAUACCUACACUCAAAGAAAUAUUGUUAGUUUUAAAAAAGGAAAAAGAUUGAUUCGUGUCUCUGUCAAUUCCUUUGCCCAGGUCCUGAAUCCAUUGUCUUUAUAUCGCUUUCUUGAGAUGCAAUCCUUGAUGAAAAUUUGAGGAUCCUCAAAAAUUUCUGCCCCGGUUUCAUGGCCUCAAUCUUUCUAGCCUUGAAUUUGUUAAAAUGUUUCUUGAUAGAAUUUUUGAGACCCUCUCAAAAAUUCUUCCCCAGUUACAUGUCUCGUCCGUCUUAAACUUGUAGAAUCAUAGAAUUUUUGAAAUCCUUUCAAAAAUUUUGCCCCAGUUACUUGCUUCAGGAAAAUAUGAAAGUUUCAUUGUGAUGAGACCGAACUCAAUAGGAGCGCCUGCGUAUCCCUCUUAAAUGGGAAUCAAGUCAAAUGUAGUUCAAAGUACAUAGGAGAAAUUCGUAUUGUUCCAAGCAUGUGUAAAGAUUAUAGUAACCCAAGUACUUGAGAUACUGAAAUGAGAAGACGACGUGAUAUCCCUUCCUUAAUGUUAGAGACGCCAGUUCUUAAUCAACAUCAAGAUAUGGCCCCAUCACAUUUAUCGCUUUGGUAUCAAUCAGUGCUUGAAUUUUGUCCUUUAAAACACGCCAUUCUUCAGUGGUGUAGCUUGUCAUCCUUGAAUGAUAAGCACAAACUUUGAAAUAAUCAAUCCAUUUAGCAUAUGUAUUCAUUACAAUUGCAGAAAUUGAAGUAAUGUAGCCAUCAACCCUUAAUCUCUCAUAAAGUUGGUCUAUAGGCUCAGCCAAAGGAGUGUACUGUCUUGAUAAUUUUUUUAAAGCUUGGCUUAAGGUAUGAUAAAUUGAUUGGGUCGUAGAUUUGUUGGUGCAUAAGCUAAUGGUUGUUAGAAAGUAGUUGAAAGAAUUUGUGAGCACGCAGGUAGUGCGAGAUAGUUGGUAGGACUAUAAGAUAGUAUGGGGUAAUUCUAUGUCGUUGCGGGGAAUGAAGGUGCUUGAUAUAUGGGUGUUUGGUAUUGAAGCGGAGGAGGUGGUGUUUGGUUUUUGGGAUUUUGAGUAGUCAAGAUAGUAUUUACUUCCUUCAUGUUAUUAUUCUCAUCAGCCUGUAAAGUCUUAAUCGCUUGCAGUGCCUCCAAAUUCGUUAUCAUGCCAUUUUAAUGACUUCUUCAAUUCUCUCGCCCAAUUUGAUGAUGUCAACAAGCUUUUGAUCCUCUAUAAGAAUCAUCCUUUCAUAAUAUUGUGGCUCUUGGGAACGUAUGAAAAAUUCUUUCAUUUGACCUUCCUCUAAAGGAGGAUGCACCUUACAAGCUUCACGUAUCCACCUCAAUCCAUAUACUCAACACGAUUUUGUAGGUUUCUUCUUUAACUUCUGAAUGUAGAACGAAUCAGGCACAUUCUAAAUACUAAACCCAAAUCUUUCUAUAAAAGCCGAGGCUAUGUCGAUCCAUUUCGACCAUUUUGUUGCAUCUUGUGGACAUACCAUGACAAAGCAUCUUCAGUGAGACUUUUAUGAAUAAUUUCCUAAGAAUCUACUCGUUUUUUCCAACUCUAACUAGCUUGUAGUAGUAUAGUUUCAAAUGGACUUUCAAAUCUCCAGUCCCAUUGUACAUUUCAAAUUUAGAAGGUUUGUAACUCCUGGCAGUUCAACGUCAGGGUGCACGCAUGGGUCCUCAUAACUUAGCCCUUUCAACUCUUUAUUACCUUCAAGUUGUUCCAAUCUUUCAACCACGGAUUGCAUAAGGGCAGCAUUUUCUAAAGGUUUGGAUUUAUAUUGGUGGUAGGUAAAUAGGGUCGUUUUGUCAUAACUCAAAUGUAAAGUAUGGCUGCUUGGAUCAUGAAAAUGAGGCAUAUUUGUGGUAAAUGUUGGCGGCAUAUUAUGGACAUAUGAUGAUAUUUGCAAAUUUAGUAGGACUGGAUAUGUGUGGUAUUGUGGUAGACAAGAAUGUGGAUAUGAGUUAUGUUUAGGAAGCGUGUAUAUGUGAUUUGAAUUGUUUGGGGGUUGUGAAAUAGGAAGUGAUGGUAAGGGAUGACUUGUGAAGAUGGGAUGGGAUUUAAUAGUUGUGUUACCCUCAAUUUGUGGUUUGAGAGGAGAAUUCAAAGCAAGGGGUAGAUUAGAUAAGUUACGGGCUUGUGACAAUUUCCUUUGUAGUUGAAGGAUUCUUUGCUCUAUUUGUAAGAUCAUCUCAUUAUGCUCAUUUCUAGCAUCGUUGUUAUCACCCAUUUCAUUGUUUUGGUGACUAAGCUUUAAGAGAAGGAGACUGAGCCUUGAUGGGCGAGAUAAUGCACGAAUCAAUCCUUUGGGCGUGAAAGAAAAAAUAAAUAAAAUUAAAAUUAAAAAGAAGAAAGAAAAAAAAGUUAAGUUAGUAAGAUAUGUAGUGAAAAAAUAAACAUGUUAAUAUGCCAGAAUAAAAUGUUUUAUAAUGUACGGAGCCUUAUUAAGUCCGAAGUAGGUCGAGAAUGACAAAUAUAUAUGACUUACGAUAUUAUAAUCCAAGUCUGACGUAAAAGAAGUUUGGAAUUAGAAAUUCCUAACCACAUUUGCUCAAUCUUUGGUUCAGAUUACUUUAUCACGAUCACAAGAAGCAUAGCAUGAAUAUUUAUUGUUGGUAGGAUAAGGCGAGAAUAAAGAAAUAAAUUUCAAAUAGUGUUUCUCCUUGGGCGAGAAGAAAAAUGAUGAAAUUUUUUUGCAUGUUUGUCAUAACGCAGAUUUUCAAAUGAAUCGAUGUUUGAAAAAUAGCAAUUUGAACAAAACAGGAGCGAGUGUACCUAGUAAGAGAAGAGAUAGUAUGAUAAUAUGAGUCAUUUUGUCAAAGAGGACUUUAGGACGAAUGGGUGGGUUGGGAUUUAAGCUUUAGAAGUGAAUUGAUGUUAAAAGACAAAAGAUAAAUGAUAAACAAGACUUAGGUACUGUGCAUACUUGGAGUUGAUGGGGUGAACAAGUAAAUAAUGAUAAGAUAUUAAAAGAUGCACGUAGAAUGUUGAAGGCAUUUUAUUUUGAAAAGAGGGGAAGAUUGAAGAUUUAAAAAUUUUGACGUAUUUUGUUUGAAAUAUUUUGAGAAUUUGAAAGAUUGUAAAAGGUCGUUGGAAUAAAAAGCUUCUAAUUCUCACCCUUAUGACAUUAUGGAAUGGUGGUGAAAGAUAUAGAGAAUAUGAUUUGAUAGAAAAAACUACUGGACUGAUCACAUUUUCAAAAAUUAGGACGUUUUGUAAAAUGGAGGGAAAAGAAAGACCGUAUCCUUAUAAAGGAUUGCCUACAUAUCUUGUUGGAACAAGAAUCAGGUCAGACGUAAAUCAAAAUUUUGAGAGUUAUAUAAGUUGAAUAACAAGUGAGGAUGUUGGAGGAUUUUGAAUAGGCCCUAAGAGUGUAUUGUAGGGUCCUAACAUUGUACGAACUUUAAGAGUAAAGAGCUCUAAAGUGAGGCACACUAAAUGUAAGGAGUGACUAAGGCAAUAACGGAAACAACAAGAUAAGUAGGAUGUCAAUACAUACAUAGAAAUGCAGAACAUAACAAAUAAUUUUGAGUCCCUUUGAGGUCGUGAACCUCUUUGAACUUUGAAUGAGACUAACAUUCAAUGCGUCAAGGAUGCCAAGGCAUCCUACGUUGAAUGGGACGCAUAUUCCUUAAUAAAAGAAAUAUGUAGCUAAAACCUAAAGGGCAAGAGUGGGUUAAUGACAUAGUUCCCUCGAGUGGACAACUCGAGAGUGGGAAAACUUGUGGUUGUCAACGCACGGCUGAUUGACCGAUCCAUAAGGCAUUUCUCGAAGGGUGUUUUAGGAAAGAACGUCCGUGCAACCACGCAAUUGUUCGUACAAAAAAAAUAAAGGAGAUCCCAAGUGGAGGAAAGUAUGAGCGGGAUACCAAUUAUAUAAAGCAGUAAGAAUAGCACAUAGAAACAUAUAAUAACAUGCUUUAGUAAUAAAAAAAAUAAACAUUAAAACACAUAUCCAAUAAAAGAAAAGUAGACAUGGAGAAAUAUUAAUAACACAAAAAGGAAAAAGGAGAAAGGACUAAUAAAUCAUGAUGUAAGUAAACGAUAAAAGAAGAACAUAUAAAAAAUAAAUUAAGAUGUCAAACAUCAUCAAAACAAAAGGAGAGAAUCCUACAUGAAGCACAAAUUUGUAAUGGUUAGAACUUAAAAUCCCCAGCAGAGUCGCCAUUCUGUCGCGCCCCAUUUUCCUUGCAAAAAGCGAGAUUCGACGUGACCACUCUUUUUGGAAUUAUUUCGAGAGGAGAGUGAAGAGUCGCCACCUAACUAAUUAAGGUGUGUUAGGGCACCAGUCUAAGCCAACUACAAACCUUUUUUAUUGUUUUGUCUUAGCUCACAAGAAAUUUGGUUAAGAGUUCAAAUUACAUCAAAAGAAAGUGUUAGGCACCUUUUGAGGUCCACGAAGGUAGUUUCCGACCGAAUUCAUAUUUUACGUGGGUAUUCUACGUGCUCAAAUAAGGUCGCUUAUUUCAUUAUUAAUUGAUGCUAACUAAGUGAUAAAAUAGUAAAUAAGUAAACAUGUUAUUUAAUUAUUUUUAAUUAAUAAUUAUCUAUGUGAUAAAAAUCAAUUAAACAUAGGAGAAGAAAGAAAUGACAUGAGUAUAUUAAAUUAAGAAACAUAAACUAUCCUAAAAAAAAUAUAGUAUUAAUUGAAUUAAUAAAGUAAACCAUUUUCAAUUUGAAUAAAGUUGUUUGAAGAAAAUGUUUGUCACUUUUAUAGAAAAGAUGUCACGAUAUUAUUAAUCACGCCCUUUUACCUUGGCAACAAUUUUGAUUGGAGAUCGGUCUUAAGUAAAAAUAAUAAUAAUAUAAUUUUUAAAAGACAAGUGAAAAUUUGAGUAUCAAAAUAUAACACAUAAAAAUAUUUAUAUAUGUAUAAAUAUACACAUAUUCAAAAAAAACAUUGGUUAGUGGUAUUCCCGAGGACGCGUCGGCUUGCUUUUAAAAUAUGAGAAUUAAAAAUCGUAAUUCUUUUUACUUUCCCGCCAACUAUAAGUUAGGAGAUAGUGUAUAUGUAAUUAAUAAUUUUUAAAAGACAUUGUCCAAUUCAAGUUGUAAAAAGCCAGAAAAAAAGAAUUAAACCAAAAUGUUAGCAAUUAAUGUUGUGUUUUAAAAAUGUUUGCAUAAACAAAGUAGGAAAAUUAGUUAAUAUGCUGAAAAUAUUAUUUGAAGACUGAAAAUUAACAUAUAAUUGUUGAGAAUGUGAUUUAAAAUGCGAAAAUGUCAUUUGUUAUAUGUCAAAGUUAUGCCAAAAGUAAAUAAAUUUGUUGUAACCUAAGUUGACAUAUUCAAACGUGAUUUAACGAGGCAAAAUUAAUUAAACUCCUAAAAGUAUGAUUUAUAAGAGAUUAAAAUAAAUCCUAAAUUAGGUUUGCCUAAGUGAUUUGCAUAAUACGUAAAGCACAUAAAUCCCUUCCCCCAAAACAGUCCCAUAAAUAUUAUUACAACAUAUCCUUUGUACAAUAAUCCUCACAGGCCAAUAUUAAAUGAAAUAAAAAAAAAAAAUACGAAGAGCUAGAUUGGAUAGCUCUUAACGACUACAUGCCAACUCUGUCUCGUCUAAAUACUUGUCCUUAACCUGUGAUAACAAAGAAAUAACCAAAACACAUUCCGAAUCUAGAAUACCUUUAGUGACACAUAACCAACCUUUGAUGCUGUCGAGAUCCUGGGGAUCCCAGGCAGGCUCAUGCCAAAGAAGCUAUGUGACGUGUAAAUAAUAUUUCAGAGUCACGUACAACAAGCAUGCUAAUGGAAAAGAACAUUUAGAAAAAGAAAAUAUGUCACAACUAAUAUGAAUACCCAAUAAGAGUCACGGAAAUACAAAAAAAAAAUAGGAGGUUCAUGUCGUCAAGCAUUUAAAGUAUGCAAAUCCAAGCAAAAAUCAAAACCACAUAGUAUAAAAGGAACUAAUGCAUCGUUGAAGAAAACUAACCGCUUUACAGCACAAUUACAAAAGAAGAUUGAACUUUCAAGAGUAGAUAAGAAGUCGUACGAGCAAACAAGAAUUAGCGAUCUCAAAGUAGAAGCAGCAAGCAAAAUUUAGCACUAAGUGUAGUGUAGAAUAGGGUAGAAGUCAGAGUACGAGUGUAAGAUAAGAGGUCUGACAAUUGAAAGAGAGGAUAUUUAUAUAGCAAAGGAGUAGAGAAAAUAAAAAGACAGAGAAUAUUUGCAAAUUCAAUCAAAUCAAUUAAAGAAAAAUAAACAGCUCCUAUUUACCUAAAUAAACAAGUCAGAAUAUUAUUUGAUCUUCAAGAGGCCAUCACUAGGUUUAGUGUAGAAGUGUAAGAUAAGAGGUCUGACAAUUGAAAGAGAGGAUAUUUAUAUAGCAAAAGUGUAGAGAAAAUAAAAGGAAAGAGAGUAUUUGCAAAUUCAAUCAAAUCAAUUAAAAAAACAUAAACAACUCCUAUUUACCUUAAUAAACAAGUCAGAAUAUUAUUUGAUCUUCAAGAGGCCAUAAAAAUAGGGAUACCAAUGGAUACUUCCCAUGUUAAGAAACGUAAUCACAUCAAAUUAGCACAGAAUAGAUCCAAUUAUAAUUGGGGGUAAACAUCUAUUUGUAUCAAAACUCCACAUGCUUAGCAAGCAAAAAUCACAAUACACCCAAAGAACUACUAUACUGUUGUAAUUGCGCUAGUAAUCCAAUUAACCGGUUCAAAUUUUCGGAGUCAAAAUUAUGACAGUAGACAAUGAAAUUGCAUUCCUAAAAUGAAAUCUAGGAUUAAUGAAAAAUUCAAAAUUUGUCAUUUUACAUAAAACAAACGUGAAACCAGAAAAACAGACCAACAAUAAAACCAUAAAUUUUAAGUUUAAAGAAAAGAGUAGCAGAAGAGAAUUAUAAUUGCAUGUAAAAAAUUAAAUACGAAAUCCAACCUAGGAUGGGUUCCUAAGAACCCAUCAUUUUUUCGAUGAGUUGUGGUGGCAGUGUCAUGGGAUGCACAGAGAGACAGCAAUGGUGGCUACAAUGAGAACGAAGGUUGGUUCAUGGGUAGCCGCUGGUUUGCAUGGCUGGUUUGAGGUGCCACGGCGACGGCUGGAGCUACGGAGCUCGGUUUUGAUGUCUUUUGAUACGAGCAGCGGCAAUGGUGAGAUCCGGCUAUCAUUAACAGUUCUUUACUGGUCAUCACCUACGAUGAAGCAGCAAUGAUGGGAGGCGACGCUGAUCGGAGGUGCAGUGGGACGUUCGGCUCACUGGUAAGCUGCCGUUAUUUAUUUCAGCGAUGGAGAUGUACCGGAUCUGGGCGACGAUGGCGCUGGGCCUUCACCAGUGGCGGCUAGUGUUAUUGCCUGUUCAACAAUGCUUAACCGUCAGAGAGAAUAAUAGAGGAGAGGGGGUUCGAGCUGUGGGCGGUCACCGGUGGCGGCUGGUGAGUUCUAGAGAGAAGGAGGAGCGAUAGAGAGAGAAAGUGGAGGUGGUGUUCGGUUAAUUUGGUGGAAUGAAUCUAGGGUUAGGGUUUUGAUUUUUUAAAAGAAAAGAAAGAGAUCCUUUGAUCUCA
rnacentral:lncRNA from 1 species